rnacentral:rRNA from 1 species
AUUGAACGCUGGCGGCAGGCUUAACACAUGCAAGUCGAGCGGAGAUGAGGUGCUUGCACCUUAUCUUAGCGGCGGACGGGUGAGUAAUGCUUAGGAAUCUGCCUAUUAGUGGGGGACAACAUUCCGAAAGGAAUGCUAAUACCGCAUACGCCCUACGGGGGAAAGCAGGGGAUCUUCGGACCUUGCGCUAAUAGAUGAGCCUAAGUCGGAUUAGCUAGUUGGUGGGGUAAAGGGCUACCGAGGCGACGAUCUGUAGCGAGUCUGAGAGGAUGAUCCGCCACACUGGGACUGAGACGCGGUCCAGACUCCGACGGGAGGCAGCAGUAGGGAAUAUUGCACAAUGGGGGAAACCCUGAUGCAGCAACGCCGCGUGAGUGAAGAAGGCCCUUGGGUUGUAAAGCUCUUUAGCGUGGGAAGAAGGUAGAUAUGGUGAACAAUCAUGUUUGCUGACGGUACCACGAGAAUAAGCACCGGCUAAUUUCGUGCCAGCCGCCGCAGUAAUAC